GAAGCAAGCCAGACAGCCGCUGGCCGGCGGCAUUCAUGUCGCUGGCGGGAGGAAGGUCCGGACUCCACAGAGCAGGGUGACGGUUAACGGCCGUCCGCUGAAAGCCGCAAGCCUUUGGCUUCGGUAUAAGGCGAGGAACAGGGCCACAGAGACGAGCGUAUUCAGUUACGGUGAAACGCGGUAACCUCCACCUGGAGCAAUUCCAAAUAGGCACGCGUUGAUGUUGCUCGCGGAGCGUGCGGGUAGGAAGCUUGAGCCGUGGAGUAAUUCACGGCCUAGAGGAAUGGCUGUCAUAGCCGGCGGGGCAACUCGUCGGCCGUAACAGAAUCCGGCCUAUCGGCUUGCUUCAUUU
rnacentral:RNase_P_RNA from 1 species